AUUAUUGCCUAAACCGCUGGCAACAAAAGUGAGUACACCCCUAAGUGAAAAUGUCCAAAUUGUGCCCAAUUAGCCAUUUCCCUCCCUGGUGUCAUGUGACAUGUUAGUUUUACAAGCUCUUAGGUGCAAAUGGGGAACAGAUGUGUUGAAUUUGGUAUUAUUGCUCUCACACUCUCUCAUACUGGUCACUGGAAGUUUAACAUGGCACAUCAUAGCAAAGAAUUCUCUGAGGAUCUGAAAAACAGAAUUGUAACUCUACAUAAAGAAGAAUAUUGACAACACCCUGGAUGUGAGCUACAACAUGGUGGCCAAGGCCAUACAGCACUUUAACAGGACAGGUUCCACUCAGAACAAACCUUAUGGCUGACCAAAGAAGCAGCUACAGCAACCACAGCAGCAUCACAAACAACGACAACAGUCACAAAAAACAACUACUACUGCAGCUCCUGCAACAACCACGACAACCACACUGGCCAUUACAGUGGCACCAACAACCAGGAUAGCAGCACCAACAACCACAUCAACCACCACUGCAGCACCAGCAUCGACCGCAGUCCCACUAACAAUCAUCACAACCACACUGACCAAGACAUCAGUGCCAAAUACCACUACUGUCGCAUCAACCACCAGACCUCCAGGGCCAACAACAACUAAGGCCAGACCAACAAAUACAACAGCAGCAUUAACAACUACGGCCCCAACAACAACCACAACAGCAGCAGCAACGACCACAACCGCACCAACAACCACCACCUCUGCACCUACAACAACCACAGCAUCUCCAGUGACAUCCACCGCAGUACCAUUAGCCACCACAGCCCCACCAAUAACCACCAAUGAAGCACCAACAGCCUCGACAGUUUUACCAAAAACCAUGAGAGCAGCAUCAACCACAAACCAACAACCACCACUGCAGUGCCAACAACCACCACAACAGCAAUACCAACAAUGACAGCAGUGACUUCAUCAUUAAAGAAACAGACAAUUGUAGGCACCUGUGAGGUGGAGGCGUUCCCCAGACUGACCUGUUAAAGGGGAUAGUGAGCGCAGAGACAAGAGGAGAGACGCACGAAGGGUGAGCUGGAGAAAAAGAAAUGCGUGUAAGCCUGCACAUGUGUUGGAGGACCUGCUGCCUGACUGUGGGGUGCCACUAGUCGUUCGACGAUCCAGUCCCAACGGCAGUAACAGCAACAGUGGAUGGCGAUGGCCGCAAUUCACAGCAGGGCAGGGGUGCCCCUCUGCCUGCAUCUGGCGGUGCUACGAGGA